CCUACGGGAGGCAGCAGUGAGGAAUAUUGGUCAAUGGUCGGGAGACUGAACCAGCCAAGCCGCGUGAGGGAGGAAGGUACAGAGUAUCGUAAACCUCUUUUGUCAGGGAACAAAGACUGGGACGCGUCCCAGGAUGAGUGUACCUGAAGAAAAAGCAUCGGCUACCUCCGUGCCAGCAGCCGCGGUAAUACGGAGGAUGCGAGCUUUAUCCGGAUUUAUUGGGUUUAAAGGGGGCGCAGGCGGUCUGUUAAGUCAGCGGCAAAAGCCCGGGGCGCAACCCCGGCCCGCCGUUGAAACUGGCAGUCUCGAGUUGGAGAGAAGUAUGCGGAAUGCGCGGUGUAGCGGUGAAAUGCAUAGAUAUCGCGCAGAACUCCGAUUGCGAAGGCAGCAUGCCGGCUCCACACUGACGCUGAGGCACGAAAGCGUGGGUAUCGAACAGGAUUAGAUACCCUGGUAGUC
rnacentral:rRNA from 1 species